GAUGAACGCUGGCGGCGUGCCUAACACAUGCAAGUCGAACGAAGCGGUUCUUUUGGAAGGAGAUUAGCUUGCUAAUCUCUGGACAUAUGAAUUGACUGAGUGGCGGACGGGUGAGUAACGCGUGGGUAACCUGCCUCACACUGGGGGAUAACAGUUGGAAACGACUGCUAAUACCGCAUAAGACCACGGAGUCGCAUGGCUCUGAGGUAAAAACUCCGGUGGUGUGAGAUGGACCCGCGUCUGAUUAGCUAGUUGGUGAGGUAACGGCUCACCAAGGCGACGAUCAGUAGCCGGCCUGAGAGGGUGAUCGGCCACAUUGGGACUGAGACACGGCCCAAACUCCUACGGGAGGCAGCAGUGGGGAAUAUUGCACAAUGGGGGAAACCCUGAUGCAGCAACGCCGCGUGAGUGAAGAAGUAUUUCGGUACGUAAAGCUCUAUCAGCAGGGAAGAAAAUGACGGUACCUGACUAAGAAGCCCCGGCUAACUACGUGCCAGCAGCCGCAGUAAAAC
rnacentral:rRNA from 1 species